AUGUAUAUGGCAGCACAUAUUCUAAAACUAGAAUGAUACAAAGAAGAUUAGUAUGGUCCCUGCACAAGGAUGACACACAAAUUCAUGAAGCAUUUCAUAUUUUU